CCUACGGGCGGCAGCAGUGAGGAAUAUUGGUCAAUGGCCGCUAGCCUGAACCAGCCAAGUAGCGUGAAGGAUGACUGCCCUAUGGGUUGUAAACUUCUUUUAUCUGGGAGUAAAGUGCAGUAUGUAUACUGCUUUGCAUGUACCUUAUGAAUAAGGAUCGGCUAACUCCGUGCCAGCAGCCGCGGUAAUACGGAGGAUCCGAGCGUUAUCCGGAUUUAUUGGGUUUAAAGGGAGCGUAGGCGGGUUGGUAAGUCAGCUGUGAAAUUUGGGGGCUCAACCUGAAAAUUGCAGUUGAUACUGGCAUCCUUGAGUGCAGUAGAGGUAGGCGGAAUGCGUGGUGUAGCGGUGAAAUGCUUAGAUAUCACGAAGAACUCCGAUUGCGAAGGCAGCGUGCUGGACUGUAACUGACGCUGAUGCUCGAAAGUGUGGGUAUCAAACAGGAUUAGAUACCCGAGUAGUC
rnacentral:rRNA from 1 species